rnacentral:rRNA from 1 species
CCUUUCAACACCUAUGAAUUAGUAUAAACGAGUGGCGAGUGGAAGACUAGGAUACUAUAUAAAAGGACGUUAAAAACGAAAUGUCGUAAAUGAGAUAUAUGAUAUUCGACAAUCCUUUGGAGAAACCGGAAGGCGGGGUCCUUGAGAAUUGAAACAUCUACGUAUCAAGGGGACAUAAAUCAAGCGAGAUUUCGUUAGUAGUGGCGAGCGAAUGCGAAUAAAGAAUAGUUAAUUAAUUAAGAACUAAUUUGAUAUGGCCAAAGAAGAUAACAGAUCUGUGGCUCUUAAUAAUAACAAAGUAUAGAGUAUAAUUAUUAAAAUACAGGUGUACCACACAUCUAAGACUAAAUAAUAUAGUAUACCGACAGUAAACGAGUACUGUGAAGGAAUGUUGAAAGAGAUUUGCGUGAAAAGAACUGGAAACUCGUCUACUUACAAGUAGACAUAACAUUUUGUCGUACCUUUUGUAUAAUGGGUUCACAAGAAAACAUUUGGCAAACUUAAGUUUAUAAAUGUAGGUAAAGUGAAAGCGAGUUUUAAUAAAACGUUAUAAAGUCAAAUGAUCCCGAAACCAAGUGACCUAAUCAUGGGCAGUUUGAAGUAAUUCGAAAAGAGUUAUGGAGGAGCGAACCGGUGAUUGUGGAAAAAAUCUCGGAUGACCUGUGGUUAGGGGUGAAAGGCCAAUCGAACUUGGAGAUAGCUGGUUUUCUGCGAAAACUAUAUAAGUAGUGCGUCAUAAAUAUUCUAACACGAUAAAGCUCUGAAUGAGUUUAGGGAGAAAGUCUUUACUAAGUUCAAUUAAACUAUGAAUGUGUUAGAAGGUAAUUUGAUAGACAGACAUUGGCGAGAAGGUCAAUAGUCGAGAGGGGCACAGCCCUUAUUUGAAGUUAAGGUCAUCAAGGGGGGCUAAGUGUGAAAGAGGAUUAAUUUUAAAAUUAGAUAAUGAGUAAGUAGGCUUGGAACCAGCCAUCUUUUAAAGAUUGCGUAAUAGUUCACUCAAUAAAUUUAAUAACCUAUAAAAUUUGGGUGGCUUAAGCUCAUUGGGUCCAAAACUCUGAAUAUAAAUUAUGGUAGCAGAACGUGCUGUAUUAAUUAGUGUUAACUAAAUCAGAAGUGAUACUGUGAAUAUGAGUAAAAAACAGUGUUUAAAUCAUUGUUCAUGACCUAAGGUUUCCAACUAAAGGAUGCUCCUAAUUGGGUGAAACAGCCCCUAAAAAAUAUGGGUAUGCAGUAAAAUAAAUUCCGCUUAAAGCGUCAGGAAGAAAUUAUUCCAAAAACGGGCUGUACUAAAACUGACACAAGUGGGUCGUAACGUGAUGGUCAAAUUUAUCUUAAGGAAUUCGGCAAAUUAUUCCUGUAAGUUCGCGAGAAGGGAAGUUAAUAAUUUGAAGACAUAAAAUUAUUAAUUGCAGAGAAGAGGGGGUGUCGACUGUUUACCAAAAACAUAGCUUCCAGCUAAUUUGGAAAUAUUGGAAGUGAGGCCUGCCCAGUGGUUGUAUCUCAACCUAGGUAAUAAAAAGGUUACUUGGCUAAGGACAAUUAAACGGCCGCGGUAACACUGACCGUGAUAAUGUAGCGCAAUCAAUAGCCAAUUAAUUGUUGGCAAGUAUGAAUGGCUUAACGAGCGCCCCGCUGUCUCAAGAUAAAUACCAAUGAAAUUAAAUUCGUAGUUAAGAUGCUACGUACAAAUUGUAAGACGAGAAGACCCCAUUGAGCUUUACUGAAGGUUUAUAUUGUUUGAGUUUAAUUAUUGUGUAGAUUAUGUGGGUAAUAAAUAUUAAUUUAAUGUUUAAUGAAAAACCACUCUUUUAAUUAAAAACAAAUGAAUCCGAGGCCACCGGAAGGUGGCCUCGCCAUGUAAAUCAGACAGUUUGGUUGGGGCGACCGCCUUCUAAAGAGUAACGAAGGCAAACAUAAGGCUAAUAUAAUAUAAUAAAGCCAGACAGUAAGGAGGAUCUUCCUAACUGGCACGGAGCGGGGAAGCAACAGCAAGCUGUUACUCGAAAGUACCCUACGCUCCGCUGUGUUAUAGCGACCCGUUUGUUGAAAGUGGAAUUGUUAACGAUCAAUGGAUAAAAGUUACCAUGGGGAUAACAGAGUAAUAUCGUCUGAGAGUUCAUAUCGACGACGGAGUUUGCUACCUCGAUGUUGAAUUGUGGUAUCCUGAGGGUGUAGCCGCUCUCAAGGGUUGGACUGUUCGUCCAUUAAAACCAUACAUGAUUUGAGUUCAGACCGGCGUGAGCCAGGUCGGUUUCUAUCUACAAUUUGGGGAGGAGGCAGGGUAUACCAAUCUUCCAGUACGAAAGGACCGAAGCAUUUGCUGUCCUCUGGUGUUCCAAUUAAUAGUUGGGCAGUUACGACAGUCAAAAUUAAAUCACUGAAAGCAUCUUAAGUGAGAGAUUUAUGUGGGUCUGUGCCUCCUAUAAGAGUGUUUUAGAUAAAGACGUUGACAGGGCCUGGGUGAUCAGCUUCGGGUUACUAACCAUCUUUAAUACUAGUUUAACUUACCC